rnacentral:rRNA from 1 species
AGAGUUUGAUCAUGGCUCAGAUUGAACGCUGGCGGCAAGCCUCAUACAUGCAAGUCGAGCGAGAACGUUACUUCGGUAGCUAGUAAAGCGGCGGACGGGUGAGUAACGCGUAGGAAUCUACCUUUCAGCGGGGGAUAGCUCGGGGAAACCCGAAUUAAUACCGCAUACACCCUAAGGGGGAAAGAGGGCCUAUCCUUGGAAGCUCUCGCUGUUAGAUGAGCCUGCGUGAGAUUAGUUUGUUGGUGGGGUAAUGGCCUACCAAGACUACGAUCUCUAGCUGGUCUGAGAGGACGAUCAGCCACACUGGGACUGAGACACGGCCCAGACUCCUACGGGAGGCAGCAGUGGGGAAUAUUGGACAAUGGGCGCAAGCCUGAUCCAGCCAUACCGCGUGUGUGAAGAAGGCCUUCGGGUUGUAAAGCACUUUAAGCAGGGAGAAAAAGCAAUAAGUUAAUACCUUAUUGCCGUGAUGUUACCUGCAGAAUAAGCACCGGCUAAUUCCGUGCCAGCAGCCGCGGUAAUACGGAAGGUCCAAGCGUUAAUCGGAAUUACUGGGCGUAAAGCGCGCGUAGGUGGUUUAUUAAGUUGGGUGUGAAAGCCCCGGGCUCAACCUGGGAACUGCAUCCAAAACUGAUUCACUAGAGUACGAAAGAGGAAAGUAGAAUUCACAGUGUAGCGGUGGAAUGCGUAGAUAUUGUGAAGAAUACCGAUGGCGAAGGCAGCUUUCUGGUUCUGUACUGACACUGAGGUGCGAAAGCGUGGGUAGCGAACAGGAUUAGAUACCCUGGUAGUCCACGCCGUAAACGAUGUCAACUAGUUGUUCGUGUCACUAAGACGUGAGUAACGCAGCUAACGCACUAAGUUGACCGCCUGGGGAGUACGGCCGCAAGGUUAAAACUCAAAUGAAUUGACGGGGGCCCGCACAAGCGGUGGAGCAUGUGGUUUAAUUCGAUGCAACGCGAAGAACCUUACCAUCCCUUGACAUCCAGUGAACUUUCUAGAGAUAGAUUGGUGCCUUCGGGAACACUGAGACAGGUGCUGCAUGGCUGUCGUCAGCUCGUGUUGUGAGAUGUUGGGUUAAGUCCCGCAACGAGCGCAACCCCUACUUUUAGUUGCCACCAUUUAGUUGGGCACUUUAAAAGAACUGCCAGUGAUAAGCUGGAGGAAGGUGGGGAUGACGUCAAGUCCUCAUGGCCCUUAUGUGUUGGGCUACACACGUGCUACAAUGGCACUUACAAUGGGAAGCAAAGAGGUGACUCUAAGCUAAUCCCUAAAAUGUGUCUCAGUUCGGAUUGUACUCUGUAACUCGAGUGCAUGAAGCUGGAAUUGCUAGUAAUCGCGGAUCAGCGCGCCGCGGUGAAUACGUUCCCGGGUCUUGUACACACCGCCCGUCACACCAUGGAAGUUGGUUACACCUUAAGGCAAAGCUUAUACCUUUGACUACGGUACGAUCAGCAACUGGGGUGAAGUCGUAACAAGGUAGCCGUA